rnacentral:rRNA from 1 species
GAUGAACGCUGGCGGCGUGCUUAACACAUGCAAGUCGAACGGAAAGGCCCAAGCUUGCUUGGGUACUCGAGUGGCGAACGGGUGAGUAACACGUGGGUGAGCUGCGCUGCACUUCGGGAUAAGCCGAGGCAACUGGGACUAAUGCCGGAUAGGAGCGCGACUUGGAUGGUGUUGUUGAAAGCUUUUGCGGUGUGGUAUGAGCUCGCGGGCUAUCAGCGUGUUGGGGGGGUAAUGGCCUACCAAGGCGUCGACGGGUAGCCGGCCUGAGAGGGUGUACGGCCGCACUGGGUCUGAGAGACGGCCCAGACUCCUAAGGGAGGCAGCAGUGGGGAAUAUUGCACAAUGGGCGCAGGCCUGAUGCAGAGACGCCGCGUGGGGGAUGACGGCCUUCGGGUUGUAAACGCGUUUCGCUAGGGAAGAAGCGUUUUGUGACGGUACCUGGAGAAGAAGCACCGGCUAACUACGUG